AAAACCUCAGCAUUGCCCUCCGUGUCAAACUGGUGGAACACCAUCAACAGCCUCUACAUAGCCAAGACUCCGGCCGCCAAGAAGACCCGCAUCCUGCUUUCUCACCAAGUCUCCGACGAGGCCUGCUCCAUGGGAAAAUCCCUCAAGAGGGCCGAUAUUUCAAAGAUAGCAGCCAAGGCCGGCGGAAAGAAGGGUGGCAUCGCUCUAGUUCUGACUGCCGACGACGUUGCCGUGGAGGGGUUUUGCAUGAGCAGUUGUGGUUCCCACGGGUCGAACGCCAAGACUGGCUCCGCGUAUAUCUGGGUGGGUAACUCGGCGACUCAGUGCCCAGGGCAAUGCGCAUGGCCCUUCCACCAGCCCAUAUACGGGCCGCAGAGUCCGGCGCUGGUGGCUCCAAACGGGGACGUUGGGGUUGACGGCAUGGUGAUCAAUCUGGCAGGCAUGCUGGCCGGAGCAGUGACUAACCCUUUUGGAAAUGGGUUCUACCAAGGGCCCAAGGAAGCCCCCUUGGAAGCGGCCACAGCUUGCACCGGGGUUUACGG
rnacentral:misc_RNA from 1 species